AUCCUUCUGUAGUUCACAAGAGUGAUGACUGGGUGUUCAUGCUCUCGUGUGACAUGUGCCUCCCAAGAACCUUGUUACAACCUCAGCACAUUAGCCGGCUGACA